rnacentral:lncRNA from 13 species
ACUGCCUCUUUCCUUUUUUCCCUUUUAUCGAAGAGCUUGAAGAGUUUACGCGAAUAUUCCUUUUCGUUUAUUACAAUCACACUCGCACGAGAUGUGAAUGUUAUCGCAAAUCCGAUAGCAAACUGGGCGUAUUAUUUGUCGUCAUUUUAAUAUUAAAUUAAAUAUCAUCAUGACGUCAUUUUGAUGUCAAAAUGACAACAAAUAGUAGCAGCUUUCUACUUGGGAUCUUUACUGGACGAUUACUCUGGGAUAUUAAAAAAAUGAUGUACAAAAAUUAGAAUAAAAUAAGCAUUUCUUUA